rnacentral:lncRNA from 1 species
AAGAAACAGAAAUUUUUUAACGUUUUCUCCAGCUAAAGGAAAAAAAACAAAAAUGAUCUUUGACCUUCAUGCACAACUUGAACCUGAAACAUUUACCAAAAGAAGAAAACAAAAUACUUGGUGUACAAGCCCAAUUUAUAGCCCAAAACCCAAUUAACCCUAAACUAAACAAAAACAAUUAAACCCCAACUACCCAAUUACAAGCCAAAGCCCAAAUCAGCAACCCAAUACCCAACUAGCCUAACCCGAAGCCCAUACCUAGCCCAACUACCCAACUGGCCCAAUCCCCCAAAGUCAAACUAGGGUUUCAGAAAAGAAACCCUAGCGCCGCAUCUGCUGACCAGCCGCCACUGCCACGGUCAUGUCGCCCACUUGCCCUGCCACCGUCGCUUCUGCCGCCGCACGUCCCAUCGCCACUUGCCUGCAAAACGAGAGAAAGAAAUGACAAGUAAUAAAUAAACAUUGUAAAAAUGGCUAUAAAGCCAUAGCAAAAAUUGUAAAACGGGGUCCCCUCCCCUUUUCUCUCGAUUUGGAGAAAUUAAAAACAAAAAAAACAGAUUCAACAACCCAUUUUCGGUAUAUUUAUUUUCUUUUUCUAAUUUUAAUUUUUUUUCUAUUUUUUUUCUUUCGAGUUAUUUGUGUUCGAUUUUGUUUCUUUUGUUUUUUAAAAACUAUAUAUAUAUAACAUAUAAAAAAAGCAGAAAAAAACAUACCUCCACCGUGUACGGUGGCCGGCGCGGCCGCGUCGACGGCGGAGGAUUGCCGGAGCCCAUGGCCGGACUUGGGGCCUGAGAGAGAAGGAGAGAGCUCUCUCUCUCUGUUUUUUUU